rnacentral:rRNA from 1 species
GAUGAACGCUAGCUACAGGCUUAACACAUGCAAGUCGAGGGGCAGCAUAGAAGAAGCUUGCUUCUUCUGAUGGCGACCGGCGCACGGGUGCGUAACGCGUAUCAAACCUGCCUCAUACUCGGGGAUAGCCUUGCGAAAGUAAGAUUAAUACCCGAUGUUGUUAUGUUACCGCAUAGUGAUAUAACCAAAGAUUUAUCGGUAUGAGAUGGUGAUGCGUCCGAUUAGGUAGUAGGCGGGGUAACGGCCCACCUAGCCAUCGAUCGGUAGGGGUUCUGAGAGGAAGGUCCCCCACACUGGAACUGAGACACGGUCCAGACUCCUACGGGAGGCAGCAGUGAGGAAUAUUGGUCAAUGGACGAAAGUCUGAACCAGCCAAGUAGCGUGCAGGAUGACGGCCCUCUGGGUUGUAAACUGCUUUUAGUUGGGAAUAAAAAAGAGGACGUGUCCUCUAUUGUAUGUACCUUCAGAAAAAGGACCGGCUAAUUCCGUGCCAGCCGCCGCCGUAACAC